CAAACUAAAGAAGAUCCUACCACACACUUACUACUCCAUCCUAAAGUCCUACCUAAUCAAUAGAUAAUUCAUGGUUAAAUACUUAGACGCCACAACCACAACAUUUCCAAUAGAAGCUGGCAUACCCCAAGGCAGUGUUCUCGAAUCCCUGCUGUUCUCCACCUACACUGCUGAUUUACCAACUUUAACAGAGAUAACCACAGCGACAUUUUCUGAUGACACAGCGCUAUUAGCAUCCCACGCAGACCCGAUAAUUGCAUCCUCCAUCCUCCAGCGAGGUCUCGACUCUAUGGAAAAGUGGUGACCAUUAACAAAAUUACAAUUCCUAACAAGGAUUCAGUCAGAUAUCUGGACAUGACUCUGGGCAGGAGA
rnacentral:misc_RNA from 1 species